UACGAAGGGUGCAAGCGUUAAUCGGAAUUACUGGGCGUAAAGCGCACGUAGGCGGCUUUUUAAGUCAGGGGUGAAAUCCCGGGGCUCAACCCCGGAACUGCCCUUGAAACUGGAGAGCUAGAAUCUUGGAGAGGCGAGUGGAAUUCCGAGUGUAGAGGUGAAAUUCGUAGAUAUUCGGAAGAACACCAGUGGCGAAGGCGACUCGCUGGACAAGUAUUGACGCUGAGGUGCGAAAGCGUGGGGAGCAAACAGG
rnacentral:rRNA from 1 species